rnacentral:rRNA from 1 species
UACGUAGGGCGCAAGCGUUAUCCGGAAUUAUUGGGCGUAAAGAGCUCGUAGGCGGUUUGUCGCGUCUGCCGUGAAAGUCCGGGGCUCAACUCCGGAUCUGCGGUGGGUACGGGCAGACUAGAGUGAUGUAGGGGAGACUGGAAUUCCUGGUGUAGCGGUGAAAUGCGCAGAUAUCCGGAGGAACACCAAAGGCGUAGGCAGUGUCCUGGGAAGUUUCUGACGCUCAGGUGCGAAAGCCAGGGGAGCGAACGGG